CUGUCAAUCAUCAAAUGUAUUAUUUUAUCAUAAAAUCACAGAAUAAUUAAAUAAUUGUUGACCGAAUUAAAAUAAUGAACAAUGAAAUAAUUAAAAAAUUAUCAUUUAAAUAGUGUUAUAUAAAAUCACAAAUCUGUCCACAAAUUGUAGAGAUGGUCUUUUUAUCUUCUGGCUGUCACCAUUUGUUCAGCUUUGGAAUUUUUAAUCGGACUAUUGGUUAUUUAGUUUGGUUCAAUUAAUAAUAACUUUCAGUUAGGUUUUAGGACCAAACUGAAAACUGAAAACUGAAAAAUCGAACAGUCCAUAACAUCACUAGAUUUUAUAUCAAUUUACAGAAUACAGACUUAUAAGAAUUAUUAUGACAAAAUUGUUGGACAUGAUUAAACAUUUUUAAUGAUUAAAUAUUUCUUCAUAUCUGUAUCAAUAUUCAAAAAAACUGUUUUGAAAUUU